AGAUUGUUUUCUUAUUCGGAAUUGCUUGCCAAACUUGGAUUUGUGUUUGGUGCCAUGAAUUAAUGAAUGGAUUUUACCGAAGGGCGAAGCAAGUGAGAAGUUGUUGCGUGCAUUGCUUUUGUUUCAUUUCCAUGUAACUUGAUGUUUUACUUUGAGAGAAUAAAUGUGGAAUACUUAGGAUUAUGAACCACUGUUUAUAAGUUUUUAUUAUACAUUUGAAGGAUUUGUCGAAUGGUGAUUGUCUUUGGAAGCUUUAUUUAAAACUUAAUGUUGAAAACCAUGCUUUUA